rnacentral:rRNA from 1 species
AGUGAACGCUGGCGGCGUGCUUAACACAUGCAAGUCGAACGAGAACGGAAUAUAGCUUGCUAUAUUUGUCAGCUAAGUGGCGCACGGGUGAGUAAUGUAUAGAUAACCUGCCCUUAAGAAAGGAAUAACAGUUGGAAACGACUGCUAAUGCCCUAUAUGCCUUUAAUACAUAAGUAUGCAAGGGAAACGCUUUAGUGCUUAAGGAUGGGUCUGUAUGGUAUCAGCUUGUUGGUGAGGUAAUGGCUCACCAAGGCUAUGACGCCUAACUGGUUUGAGAGGAUGAUCAGUCACACUGGAACUGAGACACGGUCCAGACACCUACGGGAGGCAGCAGUGGGGAAUAUCGCACAAUGGACGAAAGUCUGAUGCAGCAACGCCGCGUGGAGGAUGACACAUUUCGGUGCGUAAACUCCUUUUAUAUAGGAAGAUAAUGACGGUACUAUAUGAAUAAGCACCGGCUAACUCCGUGCCAGCCGCCGCUGUAA